rnacentral:rRNA from 1 species
CUUUUUCUUUUAUUCCUCACGGGCGCCUGCAAACUCCCGGGCCUAAACAUUUCAGGCCUACAUCUACAAGAAUCUACCUGCACCUCAUUAACCAGGGCUCGUGUGUACACGGGCUAUAGAGGAGGCAAGCGAUUACGUACACCUACACCCGGUUAUCAAAUAUGCCACGCAAUUCCCGUCGAGCAUUUUCGCCUGACGUCACUUUAUGCAUACGCAGUCUCCGCCAAGCACCCGGCCCGAUCGUCGCACCCGCCUGCCCAAAGACCCGCCGGCAGCUGGCGGCUGCUCCACACAGACAAGAAGGGGUUGCGCCGGCAGUAAAACCUCUAAGUCUCCGUUCCUCCCCUCUCUCACCUUCUUGUCCGCUGGCUGUCCUACCUAAAGGAGUACGUUAGUCCUCUAGGUUAGCCUAACUCCUCCAACCCCCUCUCAGAUCACGACCUUCCCAACGGCCGUGUACCGCGGUCCGCCUGUCACCAGUUCAACUGCGACGUCCUCCGGUGCCCGCACUCGCGGUUUCCCGCCUAGACGCCGCACCGACUUCGCCGCCGUCACCGUUCCCCGUCGCCGUCACUGUUCCCCGUCGGGCGGAGACUGAAGGCUCGACAGCUGCCCCUUCUACUUAGGAGUCCGAGGAGCAACCUUGUUCUCAAACCAACUUAAAGACGACCCUCAUGAGACACUGUACUUAAUCGCACGUUUGAGUGACAAGACUUAACUUUAUUUAAGUUGUAACGAUACUUCUAAAUGCCAACUCCUAACCUCGAAGACGGGGUUCGAACUGUGGAACGAGUGGGGCGCAUUCGCGAAAACUCUUCCGUCAAUCCCAGAAGCAUCUUUUGGGUUGACUUCUACUCGGCACCGAACAUUAAACCGCCACCAUUAGACCAAGCGCCUGGUCCUUUAAGUGAGAGACAAUCCACCUACCGAACUUAGUAAGUGACGUCCGGCCACCGAGGGGCUGACGCCAUAGGUUUAGGUAAAGGUCAGUCGCCCCACGACGUCGCGUGUACUGAGGUAAGGUCGCUACCUCAAGGAUUACGUCGGUUAAUCUUCCAUAGGAUAACACCUCCUCCACUCACUCUCACUCGUCCUCUACUUAGACGGUCGUUUGUCCCGCCACCGCUGAAAGGGCUAUCACCUACUUGGCAGCCGCCGGAUAGGUGCGUCUACACACUCAAUGUCUGACGGCACAACCCUUCUGCCUUCUCGGGCAGCGUCGUUAGACUUGAUAGUUGACCAUUCUACUUGGACGUCCGCGACACUACCAGAUUUUCCACGCGCGCACAUUCGAAUCUAACCUAGACUUAAAUAACUCUUACGAACUUACUUUAACAUCAUCUUACGUAUCUAGAUAGCUACGUCACUGUAAGUAAGCCAUCGUACUCUUUAACAGAUGUACCGUGAAAAUCUCGUACAAACAUAAUUAUUAACUGUGUGACAUGAUCAACUUUAAUCGAGUACUAACUCGUUAAGACUUCUUUUUCUUCAUGUACGGCAAGCCUGUUAAACAGUCAAACUUUUUGGUAUUGGUCUCACACUAGAAUCGACCGCAGGACCAUGUGCUACUCUGGCACAUCUCAAAACUCACCAAAAAAUGACUUAAGGACUCCUAAUACCCUGGACAUCGUGGUUCCUGUUAGGAUUGUCCAUACAACUAAUUCCUGUAAAGAAUUUUUCUCAUGAACUUCUACCACGACCAUCAUACUACUAUACUAACAAAGAACAAAAACAAGUACACGUCUGGUCUUAGCUCGACGUCAAUUGUCACACUACGAACAACCACACGGCUACCGACCCCGUGUUCUCUUGAUGAAUAGGUCUAGCACCGCUACACGGUUUAGUCGGAACCUUCGGCUGCUUCACGUUUUUAACACCACACCACCCCGUGGUUUCCUUAUUAAAAUGCUUUCGUUACCUGGACUCCAAUCGACCACUGCACACCACCACUCACUUUUUACGGUUUGCUAAAGUCGUUCAAACUUACCAGUUUCACACUGAACAAAAGACGUAAGCACUACACAAACACGUUGACUCGUGGACGGGACGCACGUCCGUACGAAAUACAGAACUCAACAUUAUGUUUACAUAAGUCACUACGUAAUCACCCACGACACUUCAUAGAUCCCAACUUUUUUUUAGGAAAAAGUCAACCCAAAUACCUUCCACUUGACGAAUUAAUCUACUUUGGUACGUUCACCUAACUGAAAAAUAUUAGUCAACAACAAAACAUACGAACUCCCUUCAGAUGUCGGCCCGUCUACCUAUAUCAGCAGUCACGCCCGCUGCUGCCGAGAUACCACUGGAACGUACGUCCCUCAUCCAUCGUCGUCUACUACGUCUCCCCGUGACAGCUCGUUCGCAGUUUACACCGUUACGUCUCACUCCUACGUUAUUUCAUAACCUGACUGCGAAGUCUUCCGCACUGUGAAAGGUGACCUGAUCCGCGGCCUUAUACUAGGUCAGUUGGACCGCUGACAACUACAACAACCCCUCCCGAUUCCACUAAUACUAGGUCAUUACUUAGCACCUCUACUCAGCUUGUUUAACAAACCACAGCCGCUACCUAGGCAGUAGGCAACGACCUUUACCCACGCAAUAAGGCUGCUCCUCAUGCGUCUUCACUCGUUAAGACUUGGUUUUGCUGCCGCCGAGCAAAUCCCUUCUUGAUCCUAGUCAAACGACCGCAACGCAGCCCAUUACUACAGUAAUGGGCGGAUCACGAUCACCACACUACAUUAGGUACAUGUUCAAACAACACGACAGUAUCAAUUAAUUCUAGGUAUUAGCAGUAUAGUGUAAACAGAACGCCGGCACAAGCAACCGCUAGUACGUUUCAUUACACUGCCGAACCUGCCGGAAGAUACCUUGUCUUAGCUGUUC